rnacentral:lncRNA from 1 species
AAUAUGAAUUCUGUGGACGAGGUGAGAACAGUACUGGAGGAGUAUUUUUUGUCAUGGACAAGGGAAUUUUGGGAAUGGGGCCUUCCAAGUUUACCAUAUAGAUGGAAGAGCAUUAUAGAAAAUGAAGGUUGGCAGUAGAAAUGAAUGUGAAGGCAGUAAGGAAAAUGAUAAUUCUGUGUCGGAAUUUUAAGAAACUUGAGGUAUUUGUACAUGUAUCGACAGCCUAUGCAAAUUGUGAUCGGCCUUUCAUUGAAGAAAAUAUCUAUGAACCCUUUGUAGAACCCCAGAAGAUAAUUGAUGCUUUGGAGUGAGUAUCCUGGAAUUGUUUUGGAAAAAUCU